rnacentral:rRNA from 1 species
AUUGAACGCUGGCGGCAGGCCUAACACAUGCAAGUCGAACGGUAACAGGAAGAAGCUUGCUUCUUUGCUGACGAGUGGCGGACGGGUGAGUAAUGUCUGGGAAACUGCCUGAUGGAGGGGGAUAACUACUGGAAACGGUAGCUAAUACCGCAUAACGUCGCAAGACCAAAGAGGGGGACCUUCGGGCCUCUUGCCAUCGGAUGUGCCCAGAUGGGAUUAGCUAGUAGGUGGGGUAACGGCUCACCUAGGCGACGAUCCCUAGCUGGUCUGAGAGGAUGACCAGCCACACUGGAACUGAGACACGGUCCAGACUCCGGCGGGAGGCAGCAGUGGGGAAUAUUGCACAAUGGGCGCAAGCCCGAUGCAGCCAUGCCGCGUGUAUGAAGAAGGCCUUCGGGUUGUAAAGUACUUUCAGCGGGGAGGAAGGGAGUAAAGUUAAUACCUUUGCUCAUUGACGUUACCCGCAGAAGAAGCACCGGCUAACUCCGUG